rnacentral:rRNA from 1 species
GGACGGCACCGGUUCGGAUGGAAACUCAGUGACUGUGUGCCCAGAGUGUUUCGUACUCCGGGUGGACAGUCACUGAGUUUCCGUCCCAUACCGUCCCUAAUGUUUCAGUCUCCUAGGUGCAGGCCAGUACUUCCUACGUCAUAUAGAUGACAUAUAACUCAAACUCGAAAAUUUACUUCUUUCGCUUCUUCGAGUUAAGUCGUUUAACUAAAGAGUCGAAGUUAGUUGGUACGUGAGAACAUUUUAGUACGAUCCCGGAAAAAGAAAUCGUUUAUAGCAUCCCGGAAGAGACCGUCUACGAAACCCUUCCGGUUCUCGGUUGUCGGUGACUGGAUCAGUUAUCACCUCAUGGUUGAGGCACAGAAAUUUUGGUCUCCAAAAGAGUACACAACAGUACCCGUCUUGGACCUUCUUUAUUCCACGUCGCGGAGUAUCACAUGGGGGUGGUGGUGGUUGCGAUGUGAGUGUUCGAUUGGAGUGGUAAAGUCCUUCGUAUACUCGUCGCUUUCGAACCCGUUCUUGAGGUUCUAGUACCCACCGGCACUUUCUUUUCUUCAAUUAUCGUGGCGUUUCGUAAAACAACUAAAGUGUCUUCGUCUCCUUCUAGAACAAAAGUCUUACGUGUCCGAACAGCCCUUGUCCACCCUUGAAUAUCGACCUUCUUAGGGGCCUUCUUGUCGUCUUCUUCAUCUCUACAAGACCCGUUUUUCCGUGGUCCUGGUUACUUUUACUUUUGUCCUACGUACGUCAUUUUGAUCUAACUGUAUAUCCUACGUGUACAGGUAGUUUUUGGACACAACUAGAAUGAGCAGGAUAGAAGAGUCGGUACGAUUUUCGUUGAACAAGACAUGGUUCGUACCUACAUGUAUUCUUUUGGAGUUCUUUUUCCUCCUUGUACACGAUUUAUUUG